UCCUACUUAUAAUUUUCUUGCGUUUUCUUCUAAUCUCUGGCUGAUCUCCUAUUUUCCACAAAGACUGUUUCAAGCUUUCCAUGUUGUUAAAGAUGCCAGUCCCAGUCCAUACUAAUAGAUAAAUUCAUCCAGUUUCCUGGGCUCAGAGCUAUGGGACUCCAAUUCCGGUUUGACCUUGCCUCCAUUAUAAAAUAUCUGUGACCACCUCCUGUUCGUGAUCCCAAAACUUCUAAC
rnacentral:lncRNA from 1 species